rnacentral:rRNA from 1 species
CCUUGUCUUUAGUUGCUACGCAAGAGCACUCUAAAGAGACUGCCGGUGACAAACCGGAGGAAGGUGGGGAUGACGUCAAGUCCUCAUGGCCCUUAUGGGUAGGGCUUCACACGUCAUACAAUGGUGCAUACAGAGGGUUGCCAACCCGCGAGGGGGAGCUAAUCUCAGAAAAUGCAUCGUAGUCCGGAUCGUAGUCUGCAACUCGACUACGUGAAGCUGGAAUCGCUAGUAAUCGCGGAUCAGAAUGUCGCGGUGAAUACGUUCCCGGGUCUUGUACACACCGCCCGUCAUACCAUGGGAGUGGGUUUUGCCAGAAGCCGUUAGCCUAACCGCAAGGGGGGCGACUGCCACGGCAGGGUUCAUGACUGGGGUAAAGUCGUAACAAGGUAGCCGUAUCGGAAGGUGCGGCUGGAUCACCUCCUUUCUAG